rnacentral:rRNA from 1 species
GGAAUCUUCCACAAUGGGCGCAAGCCUGAUGGAGCAACACCGCGUGAGUGAAGAAGGUUUUCGGAUCGUAAAGCUCUGUUGUAAGAGAAGAACGUGUGUGAGAGUGGAAAGUUCACACAGUGACGGUAACUUACCAGAAAGGGACGGCUAACUACGUGCCAG